ensembl:lincRNA
GGAACAGGAAGCCUGCAGGGCUGAUGAUGUUCAGGUUACCGCCUUCCUUUCAACUGGCUGUGACCACAUGGGAUGUGAGCAGGAGUGAUGGGCUCAGCAGCAGAUCUUCCCAUCCAAGCUCCAGGGCACCUCUUCUUUGCCUUUUCCUUCCUAGCUGGCACUGAGUUCAGAGUAUCCUUGGAAAUCCAAUGAGCAUGACGAAGCCUCUAUCAGCCUGAAUCUCUGAGGGAAUGGCUCUGUGCACACAGUCACACCAUGACCGGCUUACUCACCCAGUACUAUUGGGUGAGCAAAAACCAACCAUCUGUGAAUUGUGUAUCACAUUAUGCAUUGAGAUCUAUUCGUCAUAUCAGCUCUGCCUAACAUGCCUCAUAUUGGCCCCAACUAUGAAGACGGCAAUGGGGAGAAAAGAGACACAGUCAAGAGACUUGUGGAGCCAGGACCAUCUGGAGCCCAGUAAGACAAGCAACAGCAGAAGGAAGAGGAGAUGGCUCAUUUCAGCUGCUUGGACACACCCCCCUUGGAAGGGAGCCUCCCCAGAGGAUGCGGCUGCUACUGUUGCCCUCAGGGUUUCUUCUCCAGGUUGUUCUACACUCAGGUUUCACUCCGGGCACAUUAGACUGGAUCAGAGGCUCUGCUACGACUAGCGUGUGUGUUAGUCGCUCAGUCAUGUCCGAUUCUUUGUGACCCCGUGGACUGUAGCCCACCAGGCUCAUCUGUUCAUGGAAUUCUCCAGGCCAAGAAUACUAGAGUGAGCUACCAUUCCCUUCUCCAGGGGAUCUUCCCGACCCAGAGAUCGAACCCAGGUCUCCCACACUGCAGGCAGGUUCUUUACCACCUGGGAAGCCCCUGCUACAACUUACUGAAUGGUGAAGUGGCAAGAGGUUAAAACCGAAGCAGUGCGAUGAUUCUUGAAGAGACUCCAGGCCUGGGGCUUCCACAGUAGCUCAGUGGUAAAGAAUCUGCCUGUCAGUGCAGGCGACAUGGGUUCAAUCACUGAUCCAGGAAGACCCCACAUGCCGCAGAGCAGCUGGGCCCACUUGCUGCAGCUACUGAGCCUGCACGUUGCAACUACUGAAGCCCACAUACUUUAGAGCCUGUGCUCCGGAACAAGAGGAGCCACUGGCAAUGAGAAUCCCAGGCACCGCAGCUAGAGAGUAGCCCCCCGCUCGCCACAACUAGAGAAAAACCGAGCAGCAACUAAGACCCAGCACAGCCCUAAAUAAAUACAUAAAUAAAAAUUAAGACUCCGGGGCUUUGGGCUGCUCAAACCCCAGUGCCCCGUGCUCAACAUUUUUUUUUUUUUUUUUUAGUCGCUAAGUUAUGUCUCGACUGUUUGCGACCCCAUGGGCUGUCGUCUGCCAGGCUCCUCUGUUCAUGGGAUCCUCCAGGCAAGAAUCCUGGAGUGGGUUGCCAUCUCCUUCUCCAGGGGAUCUUCCCAACCCAGGAAUUGAACCCUACAUCUUCUGCAUUGCAGGCGGAGGGGUGGUCAACUUGGUAGAGCGUACACUCCCCAGUGGGAAAACCUGGGAUACCAUACUGCCUUCACAUUAAUCCUAAGACACUCCGAGCAGUGGUUUUGAAGCCAAAAAUCUCAGGGCACUUCCGGGCAGUUUCUGGCCUCAUCUGCAGGAGGCUCGACUGUGAGCAUCUCCUUUGAUUCAUCCACCCUUGACCGCCUCCCAGUCCCUCACUGCCGUGGAAGCCACUGAGAACUUUCCUCCAUGGUGCACGGGUGUCCCCAGGCUUCCUUUAGGAUUCCAAAGAGUUCACAGAACUUCUUCUCCCAGCUACAUUUCUUUUUUCUAAGGCUUGGUUCCUAUCAUACCCUCCUUUUAAAAGGAGAUCAGGG